GUCGAACGCUGGCGGCGUGCCUAAUACAUGCAAGUCGAACGCUGAAGGAGGAGCUUGCUUCUCUGGAUGAGUUGCGAACGGGUGAGUAACGCGUAGGUAACCUGCCUGGUAGCGGGGGAUAACUAUUGGAAACGAUAGCUAAUACCGCAUAAUAGUAGAUGUUGCAUGACAUUUACUUAAAAGGUGCAAUUGCAUCACUACCAGAUGGACCUGCGUUGUAUUAGCUAGUUGGUGGGGUAACGGCUCACCAAGGCGACGAUACAUAGCCGACCUGAGAGGGUGAUCGGCCACACUGGGACUGAGACACGGCCCAGACUCCUACGGGAGGCAGCAGUAGGGAAUCUUCGGCAAUGGACGAAAGUCUGACCGAGCAACGCCGCGUGAGUGAAGAAGGUUUUCGGAUCGUAAAGCUCUGUUGUAAGAGAAGAACGAGUGUGAGAGUGGAAAGUUCACACUGUGACGGUAUCUUACCAGAAAGGGACGGCUAACUACGUG
rnacentral:rRNA from 1 species